GACGUAGGAUGCAAGCGUUGUCCGGAAUUAUUGGGCGUAAAGAGCUCGUAGGCGGUUUGUCGCGUCUGUCGUGAAAGCUUGGGGCUUAACCCCAAGUCUGCGGUGGAUACGGGCAGACUAGAGGCAGGUAGGGGAGAACGGAAUUCCCGGUGUAGCGGUGAAAUGCGCAGAUAUCGGGAGGAACACCGGUGGCGAAGGCGGUUCUCUGGGCCUGUACUGACGCUGAGGUGCGAAAGCGUGGGGAGCAAACAGG
rnacentral:rRNA from 1 species